UACGGAGGGGGCUAGCGUUGUUCGGAAUUACUGGGCGUAAAGCGCACGUAGGCGGAUCAGCAAGUCAGGGGUGAAAUCCCGGGGCUCAACCCCGGAACUGCCUUUGAUACUGUUGGUCUGGAGGUCGAGAGAGGCGAGUGGAAUUCCGAGUGUAGAGGUGAAAUUCGUAGAUAUUCGGAAGAACACCAGUGGCGAAGGCGACUAACUGGACAUGUAUUGACGCUGAGGUGCGAAAGCGUGGGGAGCAAACAGG
rnacentral:rRNA from 1 species